CACUGUUGGGACCGCCUCUGCUAAAGAGGAGGAAGGAAUGGGGCAACGGUAGGUCAGCAUGCCCCGAAUUAUCUGGGCUACACGCGGGCUACAAUGGGUGGGACAAUGGGUAUCGACACCGAAAGGUGAAGGCAAUCUCCUAAACCCAUCCGUAGUUCGGAUUGUGGGCUGCAACUCGCCCACAUGAAGCUGGAAUCUGUAGUAAUCGUGUCUCAAAAUGGCACGGUGAAUAUGUCCCUGCUCCUU
rnacentral:rRNA from 1 species